GGGUUGUGAGGUUAAGCGACUAAGCGUACACGGUGGAUGCCCUGGCAGUCAGAGGCGAUGAAGGGCGUGCUAAUCUGCGAUAAGCGCCGGUAAGGUGAUAUGAACCGUUAUAACCGGCGAUACCCGAAUGGGGAAACCCAGUGUGAUUCGUCACACUAUCAUUAACUGAAUCCAUAGGUUAAUGAGGCGAACCGGGGGAACUGAAACAUCUAAGUACCCCGAGGAAAAGAAAUCAACCGAGAUUCCCCCAGUAGCGGCGAGCGAACGGGGAGGAGCCCAGAGCCUGAAUCAGCAUGUGUGUUAGUGGAAGCGUCUGGAAAGGCGCGCGAUACAGGGUGACA
rnacentral:rRNA from 5 species